AUUGAACGCUGGCGGCAGGCUUAACACAUGCAAGUCGAGCGGGGAGAUGGUGCUUGCACUAUCACUUAGCGGCGGACGGGUGAGUAAUGCUUAGGAAUCUGCCUAUUAGUGGGGGACGACAUCUCGAAAGGGAUGCUAAUACCGCAUACGUCCUACGGGGGAAAGCAGGGGAUCUUUAUGACCUUGGGCUAAUAGAUGAGCCUAAGUCGGAUUAGCUAGUUGGUGGGGUAAAGGCCUACCAAGGCGACGAUCUGUAGCGGGUCUGAGAGGAUGAUCCGCCACACUGGGACUGAGACACGGCCCAGACUCCUACGGGAGGCAGCAGUGGGGAAUAUUGGACAAUGGGGGGAACCCUGAUCCAGCCAUGCCGCGUGUGUGGAGAAGGCCUUAUGGUUGUAAAGCACUUUAAGCGAGGAGGAGGCUCUUUUGGUUAAUACCCAGAAUGAGUGGACGUUACUCGCAGAAUAAGCACCGGCUAACUCUGUGCCAGCCGCCGCGGUAA
rnacentral:rRNA from 1 species